ACGGAGGGUGCAAGCGUUGUUCGGAAUUACUGGGCGUAAAGGGCGCGUAGGCGGUUUGAUAAGUCAGAUGUGAAAGCCCACGGCUUAACUGUGGAAGUGCAUUUGAUACUGUCAGACUUGAGUACCAGAGGGGAAAGUGGAAUUCCCGGUGUAGAGGUGGAAUGCGUAGAUAUCGGGAGGAAUGCCGGUGGCGAAGGCGGCUUUCUGGCUGGAUACUGACGCUGAGGCGCGAAAGCGUGGGGAGCAAACAG
rnacentral:rRNA from 1 species